UCUAGCUGCAGCCGGCGUUUCAGGUCUCGUCUUCACUGGUCUGUGUCCUAUUCUCCUGGAGGCCCAGCCUCUGUGGCCCUGUGACCUGCAGGUAUUGGGAGAUCCACAGCUAAAACCCCAGGACACCCUGGAAGCAUAGAAAUGUUCUUCAGACAAUCAGUAAAAACAAACUUCUCCAAGCUAAAGGAGGAUGUUCGAAUCCAUCAUAAAGAAGCUGGAAACCUUGAAAAAAGAUUAGAUGAAUGGCUAACUAUAAUAGACAGUGUAGAGAAGACCUUAAAUGACCUGAUAGAGCUGAAAACCAUGGCCCAAAAACUACGUGAUGAAUGCAGAAGCUUGAGUAUCCAAUGUGAUCAACAGGAAGAAAAAGUAUCAGUGAUUGUUAAAAUGAAUGAAAUGAAGCAAGAAGAGAAGUUUAGAGAUAAAAUAAUAAAAAGAAAUGAACAAAGCCUCCAAGAAAUAUGGGACUAUGUGAAAAGACCAAAUCUACGUCUGAUUGGUGUACCUGAAAGUGAUGGGGAGAAUAGAACCAAGUUGGAAAACACUCUGCAGGAUAUUAUCCAGGAGAACUUCCCCAACCUAGCAAGGCAGGCCGACAUUCAAAUUCAGGAAAUACAG
rnacentral:lncRNA from 1 species